CUGUCUCCCCAAACUCUCACCAAGCCUCAGACUGUAACCUUUCAUCAGUGUGGCUGGAGAACGAAUGCCUCUCUGAGACAUUGCUUCUGUCUUAUAUACUUCGCUAAUGUUGGAAUUAAAGGGCUCCAGUGUGCAGUUCAUGAAAAAUGACAGUCACAGACAAAUCUGUCAAGGAAUAAACAAUCUGGAAACCAACUGCAAAUAAUUGGAAUUCAAAUGACAAGACAAGGAGGUAGGAACCCAACUCCAAUUUGCUUAAGCAAGGGGUGCACGUUUGUUUGGAUUCUGUGAAUGGAAAUUCCAGUGGCAACAUUAAUAAACAGGCAAUUCCAAGGCA